UACGAAGGGGGCUAGCGUUGCUCGGAAUUACUGGGCGUAAAGGGCGCGUAGGCGGCCAGAUUAGUCAGGCGUGAAAUUCCUGGGCUCAACCUGGGGACUGCGCUUGAUACGGUUUGGCUUGAGGGCAGGAGAGGCUCGCGGAAUUCCCAGUGUAGAGGUGAAAUUCGUAGAUAUUGGGAAGAACACCGGUGGCGAAGGCGGCGAGCUGGCCUGUUACUGACGCUGAGGCGCGACAGCGUGGGGAGCAAACAGG
rnacentral:ncRNA from 2 species